CAGAUUGAACGCUGGCGGCAGGCCUAACACAUGCAAGUCGAACGGUAACAGGAAGCAGCUUGCUUCUUCGCUGACGAGUGGCGGACGGGUGAGUAAUGUCUGGGAAACUGCCUGAUGGAGGGGGAUAACUACUGGAAACGGUAGCUAAUACCGCAUAACGUCGCAAGACCAAAGAGGGGGACCUUCGGGCCUCUUGCCAUCGGAUGUGCCCAGAUGGGAUUAGCUUGUGGUGGGGUAACGGCUCACCAGGCGACGAUCCCUAGCUGGUCUGAGAGGAUGACCAGCCACACUGGAACUGAGACACGGUCCAGACUCCUACGGGAGGCAGCAGUGGGGAAUAUUGCACAAUGGGCGCAAGCCUGAUGCAGCCAUGCCGCGUGUAUGAAGAAGGCCUUCGGGUUGUAAAGUACUUUCAGCGGGGAGGAAGGGAGUAAAGUUAAUACCUUUGCUCAUUGACGUUACCCGCAGAAGAAGCACCGGCUAACUCCGUGCCAGCAGCCGCGGUAAUACGGAGGGUGCAAGCGUUAAUCGGAAUUACUGGGCGUAAAGCGCACGCAGGCGGUUUGUUAAGUCAGAUGUGAAAUCCCCGGGCUCAACCUGGGAACUGCAUCUGAUACUGGCAAGCUUGAGUCUCGUAGAGGGGGGUAGAAUUCCAGGUGUAGCGGUGAAA
rnacentral:rRNA from 1 species